AGGGUUUGAUUAUGGCUCAGAACGAACGCUGGCGGCAUGCUUAACACAUGCAAGUCGCACGGGCAGCAAUGCAAGUGGCGGACGGGUGAGUAACACGUGGGAAUCUACCUUAUAGUCCUGAAUAACUAUUGGAAACGAUAGCUAAUACAGGAUGAGUUGGAAGCAAGAAAGGAUUAAUCUGCUAUAAGAUGAGCCCGCGUUUGAUUAGCUAGUUGGUAAGGUAAGAGCUUACCAAGGCGAUGAUCAAUAGCUGUUCUGAGAGGAAGAUCAGCCACAUUGGGACUGAGACACGGCCCAAACUCCUACGGGAGGCAGCAGUGGGGAAUUUUGGACAAUGGGGGGAACCCUGAUCCAGCAAUGCCGCGUGAGUGAAGAAGGCCUUAGGGUUGUAAAGCUCUUUUACUGAUGAAGAUGAUGACGGUAAUCAGAGAAUAAGUCCCGGCAAACUUCGUGCCAGCAGCCGCGGUAAUACGAAGGGGACUAGCGUUGUUCGGAAUCACUGGGCGUAAAGCGCAAGUAGGUGGUAAUAUAAGUCAGAUGUGAAAUCCUUAAUCUUAAGUUAAGAAUGGCAUUUGAUACUGUAUUACUUGAGAAC
rnacentral:rRNA from 1 species